GCUAAAUUGACAGAAAUAAUGUGUUAAAUUUAGAAUUUAAUAAAAUGUGAUUUAAUUACGUAUUUAGCA
rnacentral:tRNA from 1 species